rnacentral:lncRNA from 1 species
ACGAGUUACAGAAUCGCACCACAGUGCGUGCAAACUCUUAUGGAGCGAAAAUGAUUAGCGUUAGCAGCGCUCUCUGAGAUGGGACAUGUGAGAAAUCGGAACUAAUUUAUAGCCGCCAUAUUGCUACAUAGUUGCGUUCGUUUUAAUGCUUUAAUGCUUUAAGCCUUCAAUAAGGAAAAAAAAAGUAUUACGAAGAAGAGGUGUUACGAGGAAGAAGCACGAGAAGAAGCAGGUGCGAGAAGGAAAAACUUUUAAUAUUACUGCCAGUAACGACAACCAAAGUAAGGACUACAAGAAGACUUCAACAAGGGAAGAAGAAAAAACAAGAAGAAACAGUUACUCAAGAACCAUCAAAAUCUUUUCCCUGUCUCAUAACAGCUGGAUCAAGAUGAUACGAGUAUGUUGUGUACCAGGAUGUUCGACAGGGAAGACAGCACCAUCACAUAAAUUUUCACGAAAUGCUGAAUGUAGGCUACAAUGGUUCAAGAAUUUGAAAAUGGAGCCAGUAGAGGGACCUGAGGAGAAAAAGUUAUGAGUAUGCUACAACCAUUUUUAGGACAGCGAUAAUAUACAAUUUUAUUA